rnacentral:lncRNA from 1 species
UUUUUCAGAGUUUAGUUUAUUUGCUCGUUGCUUUCCUUCAAGAGAUCUGAUUUGUAAAGACGAUCAACUUCUGGAGAUUCGUGUUACUAUUUAUAUAAAUCAAGCUUUUCUCAAACUCUACACUUCAAUUCAUUCACCAUGCUUUAUUCUUCCACCUAUUCCAUAUUAUUUAUGAAAGUCGUGAGGAACUAAUCCUUCUAUGGGGGAUUAGGGAGUGGAGACAUGAUCUAUUAACUAUUUUGUUAGGUUACUCAACGG